rnacentral:rRNA from 1 species
UACAGAGGGUGCGAGCGUUAAUCGGAAUUACUGGGCGUAAAGCGCGCGUAGGCGGCUUUGCAAGUCGGGUGUGAAAUCCCCAGGCUUAACCUGGGAACUGCAUUCGAGACUGCAUUGCUAGAGUAUGGGAGAGGGAAGUGGAAUUUCCGGUGUAGCGGUGAAAUGCGUAGAUAUUGGGAAGAACACCGGUGGCGAAGGCGGCUCUCUGGACCGAUACUGACGCUGAGGCGCGAAAGCGUGGGGAGCAAACAGG